rnacentral:rRNA from 1 species
GGGUUGUGAGGUUAAGCGAACAAGCGUACACGGUGGAUGCCCUGGCAGUCAGAGGCGAUGAAGGACGUGCUAAUCUGCGAAAAGCGUCGGUAAGGUGAUAUGAACCGUUAUAACCGGCGAUGUCCGAAUGGGGAAACCCAGUGCAAUUCGUUGCACUAUCGUUAACUGAAUACAUAGGUUAACGAGGCGAACCGGGGGAACUGAAACAUCUAAGUACCCCGAGGAAAAGAAAUCAACCGAGAUUCCCCCAGUAGCGGCGAGCGAACGGGGAGCAGCCCAGAGUCUGAAUCAGCUUGUGUGUUAGUGGAACGGUCUGGAAAGUCCGACGGUACAGGGUGAUAGUCCCGUACACCAAAAUGCACAGGCUGUGAACUCGAAGAGUAGGGCGGGACACGUGGUAUCCUGUCUGAAUAUGGGGGGACCAUCCUCCAAGGCUAAAUACUCCUGACUGACCGAUAGUGAACCAG